UUUCCUCCCUGACCAAUCAAUCAGCAUUCCUGGCUCACUGGCUUCCCACCACCCACUAAGUUAUCCUUAAAAACUCUGCGCCCCGAAUGCUCGGGGAGACUGAUUUGAGGAAUAAUAAAACUCUGGUCUCCCGCACAGCCGGCACUGGGUGAAUGGCUCUUUCUCCAUUGCAGUUCCCCUGUCUUGAUGAAUGAGCUCUGUUUAGGUAGCAGGCAGGGUGAACCCCUUGGGCAGUUACAGAGUCCCACUGCAAAGGUGUACCUCAACAGUUAGGAUACUAUUUUUCAACCAAAAACAAACUGGAGCUUAUGCCUCCGAGCGAGCGUUAAACUUCAAGAUAUUUACCCUUGGCUGACUGCACGUUUACCCCAGAAAAGCUGCCAUGAAGCAAGCAGCUUUGCACGGCUUUUCAAUUAGAGUUGGUUCAUAAACCAAUUGAAAUAAAAAAGAUUAGCUUUGUUACUUUGUAAUCACACCUUAGUUUUUAUGCAAAAGGAUACUCCCACGAUACCACUCUAUUCCCCUUUUCAUGAAGUUUGGCUCUGAAUAACUGCUAAAAAUAAAAAGCAAAUGUUUUCUAAAGGAAAAACCAAGCAACUCAGAGCCUUUGGCUAGUUUGUAACAACUCCUUCCCACCCCAAAGGAAGUACUGCAGCUCCGGAAAGAAACUCUCCCAGUACAGUGGCCCAGGGCAGACUAGCUGGAAUCAGCCUCCCGGGUGGGUUUCGAGGCGUUUCCAGGGUCAGGGGUCAAGUAGGGGCAUGUUCCCGGGACACUGCUUCUUUCUGCCAGAAGGACGAAGAAUCUGGAGAGUGCAAUAUUUGGAUCUGGUCCUGCUGAUGUGUUUCUGUGCUACAGAAACCUUCUCCACCCCUCUUCUACCCAACAGCUAGAGGACAUGGGGUCCGGAAGUGCAUGUGGCUGGAGCCAGUGUGGUCGCUGUCGUGAUGGCCGAGUCCAGAUGAGCUGCCGCUGGGGAAACACAGGGUACCUGAGGUCUGAGGUCGGGACGUCUUUGUCCAACCACUAAGAGUCCACAUUCUCCUUUGGAGCCGGGUCUCCGUUUUCUCCAGCAUCAUGGGCCCCUCAAGGAAGCUGAUGCAUGCCACAGGCUGUCUUCUCAGAAAAGGUACCCAAGAACACAUUUUGGGUUUGCAUGUGGAUUGGGAAGCCCAACGUGGCCUCCAGCGGUGCUCCUUGGCUUUGUCUAGACUGCAGGAUCCCACCCAUGCCCUGUGGAUUUGCCACGUGGACACUGACGUGAGCAAAUGGACAAUUCAACAUCAGUGGCAGAAAGGAGCUCAGUCUGGUUCACACGUGGAAGGCAGCACAUUCUGAAAGAGAAUCACUUGAACCCAGGAGGCGAAGGUUGCAUUGAGCCAAGAUUGUGCUAUUGCACUCCAGCCUGGACAACAGAGCAAGACUCUGUCUCUCAAAAAAAGAAAAAGAAAAGCGACGACAUUCAGUCAAUCAGCCAGAUAUUUUUGGUGAUGCUGCAACUCUUAAUGGUAUCCUGUCUGGAUUCUGUUUAUUUAGUUCCUAAGUUGGUAAAUACAGUGCCUGUUAAUCAUUAACCUUUGCCUUGUCAUUGACAAAGAGUUCACUUGUCAAGCUGUGAGUGGAACACAGAAUUGUGAGGCCUAUGGAAUUCAAGCAUUGAUCUUGAUAUUAUGGAUGAGGACAAAAAGGGUGGGUGACUUGAAGCUGUUUUCUUCCCAGAAUUUGAGCUUUGUGAUCAUUGAAUCAGGACUUGAAUCGACACUCCUUGGCUCCCUAGUCCUUUUUCUGCUUUUCCUUUGGUGGUGAUUGGAGGCUGUAGUAGGCUGUUCUUCUGUUGCUAUAAAGAGAUACCUGAGGCUGGGCAAUUUAUAAGCAAAAGAGGUUUGAUUGGCUCCCAGUUCUGUGGGCUUUACAGGAAGCCUGGUGCCGGCAUCUGCUUGGCUCUUGGGGAGGCCUCGAGAAGCCUCCAAUCAUGGUGGAAGGCAACGGAGAAGCAGGAGGGUAGAGAGAUGCCACGUGCUUUUAAACAACCAGAUCUUGCGAGAACUCACUAUCUCAAGGAGAGCACCAAGCCAUUUAGGAGGCAUCUGCCUGGUGACCCAAACACCUCCCACCAGCCCCACCUCCAACAUUGCGAAUGACAUUUCAACGUGAGAUGUGGAGGGGACAUCCAGACUGUAUCAGAAACCAAGAGAUAACAACUUAGUAGACAUAUUCCAAAAAAUUAUGACCCACAGGGUGCCGAUCAGUGUGCAGAGAAUGUCUUCAUUUACACACAAAAAGACACAGACAAGACACUCAGCAGAGGUUCUCAGAGGGGCUAAGUGCGGAAGGCUUCGUGUGUUCAUUUUUAUUCUUUGGGGCUGAAAGAAUGCUUUAUACCAUGAGCUGUGCUUCUUUUAAAAUAGAAAUAAAAUGCUUAGUUAGUC
rnacentral:lncRNA from 1 species